rnacentral:rRNA from 1 species
CGCUGGCGGCAGGCCUAACACAUGCAAGUCGAGCGCGCCUUCGGGUGANCGGCGGACGGGUUAGUAACGCGUAGGAACCUACCUAAAGGUACGGAAUAACUCAUGGAAACGUGAGCUAAUACCGUAUGAUCCCUAAGGGGCAAAGAUUUAUCGCCUUUAGAUGGGCCUGCGUUAGAUUAGCUAGUUGGUGAGGUAACGGCUCACCAAGGCGACGAUCUAUAGCUGGUCUGAGAGGAUGAUCAGCCACACUGGGACUGAGACACGGCCCAGACUCCUACGGGAGGCAGCAGUGGGGAAUAUUGGACAAUGGGCGAAAGCCUGAUCCAGCAAUGCCGCGUGAGUGAAGAAGCCUUAAGGUUGUAAAACUCUUUCACCAGGGAAGAUAAUGACGGUACCUGGAGAAGAAGCCCCCGGCUAACUCCGUGCCAGCAGCCCGCGGUAAUUCCGGAGGGGUUAGCGUUGAAGCC